rnacentral:tRNA from 1 species
GAGGGUCUAGCUCAGUGGUAGAGUACGUGCCUAGCAUGCACAAGGUCCUGGGUUCAACCCCCGGUACCUCCA